UGCCUCCAGACUCUCAUAUGGACAGUGGAUCUCUUGGGACAACUGGUGAAAGUCUCUCUCUGUCUCUACAGUUACUGGCUGGCUGUGUGAGUGGCUGAGUGUGGGCUGGGGCUCUGCUGUGUAUCCAGAGUGAUUUAUCAGGUUUGCAGGAAGAAGACAGAGGGAGAGAGAGAGAGGGAGAGGGAGAGAGAGAGAGAGAGAAAGAGGGGGGAGACAAUCCCGGUAGCAGUAACCAGGCUGCUUGCUGGGUGCGUUAACUCCAAAUCUGACCUCUAUGGGAAGAGAACAGCCUCCACUCCUCUUCUUCCCUCCUGGCAAGCUGUGGGAAAAAGGGGGGGGCAAAUAUUCAUUUUGCCCCUCUCUGUCUGCUACACGCUGGCCCUUGGACCACUGGGACGCGGCCCUGGAAGGGACUGUUUGGCAGAGGGACAUCAGCAGGGGAGACCCGGGCUCUGAGGAUUGCACUUGGAACGAUUCUUGGACCCGAAGCGGCACAGUUGGCACAGUCAGGCUGCAGUUGUUUAGUCAGUCAUUAGCCAGUCAGAUGGUUAGUUAGUCAGCCAGUAAAUCGGUCAGUGGGGUCCCUCCCAACAGGGUCAACUCUUCCACUUUGUGCAUAUCCUCAUCUGAACUCUGAGGUGACUCAGACUUACCAAGUAGGACCUGUGGGCAUGGUCACAGGUGCUCCACAGCUGCUGUAGAUGGACGGAGGCAUCUGGAGCCCAGGAGGAUGCUGGAGCAGAUACAGAGGGCAGAAGAAGGGCGGAGAGGUGCGAAGUUGAUCCCCCCGCUGUGGUGGGGAGGGUUCCUGGCACCGUGAUUUGAUGCACAAAGAGAAACAAAAAUCACAUUGCCAGGGAUUUCCACUCUUUCACAGCUUAGCAGGUGAUCGCCUUAUAUUUCCACAGUGGGAAGCUUUUUGUAUGGAAGUCUUGGUUGUUCUGUUUCUUAUCUUUUAUUACCUGACAUCAGAAGUUGUUUAAAUCAUGAACAGUUUUUAAGGGGAAAUUGCCAUCACCUCUCAAUGGACUUCAAGCGGUUAUGGGAUCAGCUUUUCACAUGAAGAGCUGUGAGAAAACUCACACAACACACUUAAGCAUUAAAUCUUGCAGUUUCAUGUGCAGCUGUCAGAAACCUAAACUGUCCUGACUGAUCUCACCUUUCAAAUUCAUCCAGAAAGUAGAUGUUAAUGCAUACAAAAGUCACACAGCAUUACAUGACAGAGCAACAUUUUUUCUUUUGGUAAGAUCACAUUUCAGCUCUUCAUAAACACAGACACCAUUUUAAUUUUUUAAAGUCAAGGCUGGGAUCUUCCAUUGGUGGCGCCAUCUGAAACACAAUACAAGAGAGCCCCAUUUAAGGCAAAGCAAAACUCAACAUCAUAAGCACUUAAGGCUUCGAAAGCAGCCACCCUUUACCACUGAGCAGUCACGUAAAGGUCUGCGUUGCGUCUCUGUUCCCUCAAAAGCCAUCCACCCACUUGCUAAAGGCACAGAGCUUAGCUAAUUGGUGAGCAUUGAUCCCUGCUAUGUGUUGUUCACAGUGGCUAAGUUCAGUGCCUGAGGUGAAAUAGUUGAUUCGGCGGAGGGGAUUUGUUCCGGUGAAUGGAAAGAACUUGAUGAUCUCGGAUAUGAAGAAAGGAGGGGCGGAAGGAGGAGAGGGGUGACGAGAGAUUAGGUGGAGAGGGAGCAGGGAAGUUGGGAACACAGAAAGGCUAAAGAUUGUGGUCCCGUGUAGGACCUAUUUAGGGUUAAAUGUGUUAAUGUGGACCAAACGCAGGUUUACGAUUGUGCAAUGCGUUCCAGACGUGAGACAAGCUGUCCUGUUCUUUUAUCGUGUUUCAACUGAAGCAACAACUGUGUAAUGGAUUUGGCAAGAAUCAUCAUGCAUACUUAAUAUAUUUGAAAGCGCGUUAGUGAGACAGAUUGACCCAGGUUUGAUGUGGAUGAAAAAAAAAUGCCACAGUUUGUAUUGCAAUUUGAGGAAUGUGGUGCUAAAUGUCAGACACGUACGGGCAUGCCAAGUUCAUGUCCAAUAGAGUUUGCUCAGGACUGGUGUGCCAGUAUUUUGGUGUCACGUGCCAGCCUGGACAAGCAUGUUGGAGAAGAAACCUGAAUUAAUCUAGUUAAUAAUUGAAUAAACACCUCCCUAACUGAUUUUUGUUGCCCAAUAAUGAUUGUAACUUUGCAAGUGUGAACUGUUAAAACAGCAUUUUCAUCCGAUCUGACUACAGCUACAGUUUGUGUCAAUAUCAGGCUUGGUACAUCAUUCACAUUUUUUGAGUGUGGAUUUACAGGUUGCAUAAAAAAAGAAAAAAAGAAAUCAUUUUUUUCAAGCAGAUCAGGCUCCACAGCACAGUGAAUUCCCUCUAACUUUCAUGCUGCAUAUCCGGUUGAUCUUUUUGUUACAGCUUUUGAAAUGCACAAAGAUUGCACUCUGUAGUGUGAAACGGAGCAAUGUCUGGGCUGUGCCCUCCCGUGCCUACUGAACUGGUAUCAGUGUUUUACCUGAAAACUGGCUCAGUUCAGCAGGAACAGGAGUGGAGCCCACCCACCCGCCCACCAGCCAGCUGGAUCAAGGUCCCAUGUUAUGUCUCCAACGUUUAUUGCAUGUACAGAAAGAAAGCUCUGCCAAGUUUCAACAAUACUUUUGGAUUCCGUUAACCAUAACCACAACAAAACAUUGGUACACAUUUGCCUCAGUCAUUGACCAUGGCUUGAUACAAAUCAAACCCCAGCCCUUCAAUCUGUCGAAUAAUGGCACUGAACCCUGAAGUCUACGUAAAGCAAAGCAGUUCCAGUUAGAAGUGGGUGCCUCAUGCUUAAAUAUGAAUAUUUCAUAAGCAGAUUUACCAUAUUUUGCUUGAUAGGUAGGCCCUGGCAUCCUGAGCCACUUUUUGCAUACUGUUACAUACUGAUGCAGUCGAUCUUGUUGUUCUGCUCAGCCUUCAUGUUUAUUUCAGUAUUCUCCCCUUGAAAAGACCGUAAACACGUCCCUCACUCAUUGCCUAUCUCUCUUUUUCUUCAGUCUUCCUGCUGCUGUCAAUGGCCAGACUAAGACUGGAGUUCAUUGUCAGGUAAUCCCAGCGUAAUGUCUGCUAUGCCUAUAUAAUUGAUGUCAUCCAGCAGUCCCCACUAUCAGUAACUGGGAAUGCGUGUAAUGCUGCUUCCUCCACACUCUCCAUUUAACUCACAUUCACCAAAGGAAAGCUUCAUCUUGACAAUUUCAUACCCACAGGAAAAUGAAAGCUCAUUAGUGAGCAUGAUGAAUAUGCUCCUAUGCAAGAACUCCACUGAUCAUGGCUGGCAGUAUAAAAUUAUAUUUGUGUUGCUUUUGAAUGUCUUAAGGAAAAAUUUUCCAUUGAGCCCUUAAGGACAUUGCCCUCAAAAGGUUAGAAAGCUAUUUUUCACUGUCAUCGGUGUGGCUCUGGCUUUGGGGGCAGUCUUUCAGCCAAGUGGUACCAAUGACUAUUAGUCCAUGAUUUGUGUAAGCAUUUAGUCAAACUGAGUGUAGAAGACAAUGGUCCAUGAAUUGCAUUAUUCUAAAUGUCAGUAAGUUUGUAAGUACUUCAUAUCAUUUCAUGCAUGAUUAAUUAUAAUGUUACAGGUACAACCCAAUGUUCAAUUUAUUACAAACCCAAGAUUCAAUAUAAUAAAGAUGAAAUGAGCCUGAAAAAGAA